GCGCCAGGGAAAGCCUGGGAAAGGAGGAUGUGAAAGCUGAAACCUUUCGUUGGAGUCCAGAGGGUUCGACUCCCUCCCGGCAAA
rnacentral:tRNA from 1 species